rnacentral:rRNA from 1 species
CUGAAUGGGGAAACCCACCACUUUUUGUGGUACUUCAAACUGAAUUCAUAGGUUUGAAGAGCUAACCCGGAGAACUGAAACAUCUAAGUAACCGGAGGAAAAGAAAUCAAUUGAGAUUCCGUUAGUAGUGGCGAGCGAACGCGGAACAGGCCAGUAACAAUAUUGAGAUAAUCUAAGUAGUUUGGAAAAGCUAACCAUAGAGGGUGAUAGUCCCCUAGGAGUAACGCUUAGUAUUGUUCUUGAGUAGAGCGGGACACGAGAAAUCUUGUUUGAAUAUAGGGGGACC